UUGUAAAGAUAAUGUCAUUUACAGCUUUGUAAAUAAUAAUUGUCACUUAUAAAAUUAUUUUCAUUUGCUGAUCAAACCAAAUUCAGGUAUAUAAAGCUUCUUCCAAAUCAUUUGGUUAUCAAUCCUUACUCGAGUCAACUUACAGUGAUCAUCUCGUAUACAAUAUCACCAUGAAAUUUUCAAUGUAUUUCGUUUUGUUCUUCUUGGCCAUUCUGAUUUGUCCAUCAUCGCCACAACGCACCCGUGGCUCAUGUGCAAACGGAAAAACAUGUCCAGAAGGAUCCUUUUGUAUCAAGCGAACUGGUAAAUGUCUUGCAAACGGUUGAGAGAAAAAUCAUUGUGAUGGUGUGACUUGGGCAUUUGCUAAAACAAAAACAAGUCGUUUUUCACUGUUACUUGCAAAAUGUUGAAACAAGAAUUUCUGUUAAUGAAUUUAUGCCAUCUUAGAUAAAAUGAAUAAAGAAAUCCUAAAAUAAAUUAUAAA